UUUCACGUUUUCAUGAGAUGGUGAUUUGUUCAAAGUAGAAGUGAUAGAUUGUAGAUUUUUUGAUGGGGGAUUGUCAUUUUCCUGUUUAGGAUUUUCUAGUCUUAUAGUACUUGAAAGACGCCCCAAAGUUUCUGCGUAAGCACGUUUUGAAGACGCGUCAAAAUUAAAACUUCAAGAGAAUUAUCUAGAAGAAAAAAAUGGAAAAUUGGACGAGCCGUUAAGUAAAUAAAAUAUCUUUGGGUUUCUUACGU